GCAAACAUCGCAAAGGGGAAACGAAAGAGACCAUUCUCCGGCCUUCGCAAUCACCGCAGUCAGAAAAGGGGAGAACUGCCUGCUACAGACCCCGUCACCACAGGCUUGCGGGAUCCAUUUAUUAAUUUUAUUAUUUAUUUAGAAUAUUGUUUUAACCCAUCCUUCCUCUUUAGAAGGACCGAUCGCUCCAAUUUCGCCUUACGGACACCGCCCCCCCCCGCCCCCGGGACUUUCUAGGGCCGAAAUCGAAGCGGUGAGGAGCCGGGCAACCCAUAAACGGACAAGCAAUCGAAUAUAUUAACAUGAAAGUUUCAUCGUGACUUCGAGCUUGGAAAUGUUCCCUUUUGGGUGACAACUUGCAGAAUCCUGCCACCAUCAUUGAUACUGGCUAUGCAGUCUAGAGGAUUCUGCACACUCCACCAGUCCCAAAUGAUUUCACAAGACAACCACUGGGAAAGAAAUGAGUGAAAGACUUUAAGAGAGGAAUGGCUAUGGUCUUCUUUCAGUGCUUCUUAACAUACAAUGUGGAGAGUCUGCUUGUCUACAUUUUCUGUCCUUUCCCUCUUCCCCUGCCCUUCGUGUUCCCUGGAUCUGAAAUUAGCAGAGUUGCAGCCAUGAGACGGCAAUGAUCAAUGACUUCCCAGCAGGACAACCAAGGAAGAUUCAUUUCUGAAUGAAGAGCAUAUUCUUCUUUGUCUUCCUUAGUUUUUCUUUCUCUUUCCACACUUCUAAUUGCAAAGUGUGAAUUCCAUGCGCAGUACGAGGGAUCUGUGAGGGUUCUGCGCAGUUUAGUUCAGGGUUGUUGCUCUGCCUCGUGGCUGGUUCAGAAAUGCACAAAUAUCUCUGAUGCAGUUUGUAUUUACACCUUUAUCUGAAGGCACAUACUUCCUGCUGACACACCUCACUCCAAGUCCUUAAUGACACACCAGAUGGCACCAUAUACACGUUAAAUAGCUCUGAGAAGAUCAGCCUCUGUUGCACCCUGGUUAGCUGAAAUCAUAAAGUGAGGGUGGGCAAAGAGCAGGAAGAUAUGUGAUCCUCAAAGCAGGAUCAAGGCAAAUUGAUCUUACAACACUGACCGGCGGUGCCACUGAGCGGUGGUGCUGGUAUGUUCUGUCAAAUUAUUUCCAACUGAAGGCAAUCCUAUGAGUGAAUGGCCUUCAGCUGGUGCUACCAUUAAUAGCUCUGCUCAGGUCUUACAUGCUGAAGACCAAUGUUACCUCUUAAUUUUUUUUGCUAGCCCUGCUCUGCUUGCUCAGGGUUCCGGCUGCAACUGGAAGCAAAGGAGCAGCAACACUGGCUUAGCUGUGCGGUCCUGAUGCAGCACUGCACAGCCAUGAGGCUUAUAAGGAACGUUGCUGAAGACCAUGGCUUCCUUUAGUCGAUCUAUCAUACAUUUAGUCUUCCUCUUUUCCUACUCCCUUCAGCUUCCAUUCAUGUUUUGGUAGAUAAUGCAGU